rnacentral:misc_RNA from 1 species
CUGUAAGGGAACAAUGGAGUCUUGAGACUGCGCUUCAACAAUGAAGUGUGUGCUCGACUCUUAAUACUCUUCAUCCACACACACCUUUUGUGCACCAUGUGGGGGGGACACCCUCCAGGUGUCCCCCUUCUUUUUGAUAAUAACAACCAAGUUUUAUGCAUGGCUUUUAUUUGACUCUAUGGAGUUUAAAAAAAAAAA